rnacentral:piRNA from 1 species
UNCCAUAGCUAGACAUAUGCCUCACUCACUC